rnacentral:rRNA from 1 species
UUAACACAUGCAAGUCGAACGAAGCACUUUAUUUGAUUUCUUCGGAAUGAAGAUUUUGUGACUGAGUGGCGGACGGGUGAGUAACGCGUGGGUAACCUGCCUCAUACAGGGGGAUAACAGUUGGAAACGACUGCUAAUACCGCAUAAGCGCACAGGGUCGCAUGGCCUGGUGUGAAAAACUCCGGUGGUAUGAGAUGGACCCGCGUCUGAUUAGCCAGUUGGUGGGGUAACGGCUCACCAAGGCGACGACGGGUAGCCGGCCUGAGAGGGCGACCGGCCACACUGGGACUGAGACACGGCCCAGACUCCUACGGGAGGCAGCAGUGGGGAAUAUUGCACAAUGGGCGCAAGCCUGAUGCAGCGACGCCGCGUGAGGGAUGACGGCCUUCGGGUUGUAAACCUCUGUUAGCAGGGAAGAAGAGAGAUUGACGGUACCUGCAGAGAAAGCGCCGGCUAACUACGUGCCAGCAGCCGCGGUAAUACGUAGGGCGCGAGCGUUGUCCGGAAUUAUUGGGCGUAAAGAGCUUGUAGGCGGUUUGUCGCGUCUGCUGUGAAAGGCCGGAGCUUAACUCCGUGUAUUGCAGUGGGUACGGGCAGACUAGAGUGCAGUAGGGGAGACUGGAAUUCCUGGUGUAGCGGUGGAAUGCGCAGAUAUCAGGAGGAACACCGAUGGCGAAGGCAGGUCUCUGGGCUGUAACUGACGCUGAGAAGCGAAAGCAUGGGGAGCGAACAGGAUUAGAUACCCUGGUAGUCCAUGCCGUAAACGUUGGGCACUAGGUGUGGGGGACAUUCCACGUUUUCCGCGCCGUAGCUAACGCAUUAAGUGCCCCGCCUGGGGAGUACGGCCGCAAGGCUAAAACUCAAAGAAAUUGACGGGGGCCCGCACAAGCGGCGGAGCAUGCGGAUUAAUUCGAUGCAACGCGAAGAACCUUACCAAGGCUUGACAUAUACUGGACCGCAUCAGAGAUGGUGUUUCCCUUCGGGGCUGGUAUACAGGUGGUGCAUGGUUGUCGUCAGCUCGUGUCGUGAGAUGUUGGGUUAAGUCCCGCAACGAGCGCAACCCUCGUUCUAUGUUGCCAGCACGUUAUGGUGGGGACUCAUAGGAGACUGCCGGGGUCAACUCGGAGGAAGGUGGGGAUGACGUCAAAUCAUCAUGCCCCUUAUGUCUUGGGCUUCACGCAUGCUACAAUGGCCGGUACAGAGGGUUGCGAUACUGUGAGGUGGAGCUAAUCCCUAAAAGCCGGUCUCAGUUCGGAUUGGGGUCUGCAACUCGACCCCAUGAAGUCGGAGUCGCUAGUAAUCGCAGAUCAGCAACGCUGCGGUGAAUACGUUCCCGGGCCUUGUACACACCGCCCGUCAAGUCACGAAAGUUGGUAACACCCAAAGCCGGUGGCCUAACCCUUUUGGGAGGGAGCCGUCUAAGGUGGGAUUGGCGAUUGGGACUAAGUCG